AUCGCUUCUUGGCCUUUGGGCUAAGAUGAAGUGUAGUAUCUGUUCUUAUCAGUGAAUCCAGUAGCAUUCACUGAGACGUUUGGCUCAGAUAUGACGUCUUACGGUCAAACUUCUAUUUGCUACAGCAAUUUUCCUACUCAAACUGUGAGGUCUCUUCAAGUACCACUCUUUACCAUAU
rnacentral:snRNA from 1 species